rnacentral:rRNA from 1 species
AGAGUUUGAUCAUGGCUCAGGAUUAACGCUGGCGGUAUGCCUAACACAUGCAAGUCGAACGGAAUACUAUUAAGAGAAUCUCACACUAGUGAGAGGUUCUCACGAGUAGUAUUUAGUGGCGGACGGGUGAGUAACACGUUGGAACCUGCCCCGAAGUGGGGAAUAACUGCUCGAAAGAGUAGCUAAUACCCCAUAGUAUCCGGUUUAUCCGGAUUAAAGAUUUAUCGCUUUGGGAGGGGCCUGCGUCUGAUUAGCUAGUUGGUGAGGUAAAAGCUCACCAAGGCGACGAUCAGUAGCUGGUUCGAGAGGAUGACCAGCCACACUGGGACUGAGAUACGGCCCAGACUCCUACGGGAGGCAGCAGUGAGGAAUCUUCCACAAUGGGCGCAAGCCUGAUGGAGCAAUACCGCGUGCAGGAAGACGCUUUUCGGAGUGUAAACUGCUUUUGUCGUCGAAGAUUAUGACUGUAGACGAAGAAUAAGGACCGGCUAACUACGUG